GGGUCUGGCUAGUCCACACAACGUUCUGGGAUAGGAGAAAAACGUGCUCUGGUUUAUUGGCAUUUCCUUAAUCCAUUUACAAUCAUCAUGGGUGGGGCGAAACUGUACAAUAGUUGUGAGA